rnacentral:rRNA from 1 species
UACGUAGGGUGCGAGCGUUAAUCGGAAUUACUGGGCGUAAAGCGUGCGCAGGCGGUUUCGUAAGACAGAGGUGAAAUCCCCGGGCUCAACCUGGGAACUGCCUUUGUGACUGCGAGGCUAGAGUAUGGCAGAGGGGGGUGGAAUUCCACGUGUAGCAGUGAAAUGCGUAGAGAUGUGGAGGAACACCGAUGGCGAAGGCAGCCCCCUGGGCCAAUACUGACGCUCAUGCACGAAAGCGUGGGGAGCAAACAGGAUUAGAUACCCUGGUAGUCCACGCCCUAAACGAUGUCAACUAGGUGUUGGGAGGGUUAAACCUUUUAGUACCGUAGCUAACGCGUGAAGUUGACCGCCUGGGGAGUACGGCCGCAAGGUUAAA